rnacentral:rRNA from 1 species
CGGGGGCUACCCAUGCAGCCGAGCGGUAGAGAUUCUUCGGAAUCUUGAGAGCGGCGUACGGGUGCGGAACACGUGUGCAACCUGCCUUUAUCAAGGGGAUAGCCUUUCGAAAGGAAGAUUAAUACCCUAUAAUAUAUGAUUCGGCAUCGGAUUAUAUUGAAAACUACGGUGGAUAAAGAUGGGCACGCGCAAGAUUAGCUAGUUGGUGAGGUAACGGCUCACCAAGGCGACGAUCUUUAGGGGGCCUGAGAGGGUGAUCCCCCACACUGGUACUGAGACACGGACCAGACUCCUACGGGAGGCAGCAGUGAGGAAUAUUGGACAAUGGGUGGAAGCCUGAUCCAGCCAUCCCGCGUGUAGGAAGACGGCCCUAUGGGUUGUAAACUACUUUUAUCUGGGGAUAAACCUACUUACGUGUAAGUAGCUGAAGGUACCAGAUGAAUAAGCACCGGCUAACUCCGUGCCAGAC